UCCUUGUGUGUUCCUGAAAAUACUUGAUAACGUCUUUGUGUUUUUGCUUUCGCUCCACAGGGCUUGCAGAUUUUCAUUCUGUUCAAAGCAAGAACAGGCAUUUUCAAGAAAAAGAUGUUAAUGUUUUGAAGUCUGUCUCUAGCACUGGGAUCCCUCUUCACACUAGGAAGUUCAGUCUAUGGCGAGUCUCUGUGACAGGUGGAGAGCAGCACAGCAUUAGACCAACAGACGUCCUAAUAAUGUGCAGUCUGCUGACACUGCAUGCCUGGAAACAGCAGACAUGAAGGAGCUAUGGAUUAUGGCUGUCUUUGCUACAGUCUCUUUUCCACAGGGGAUUCACCAUAUCAUCUGUCAUUCCAACCACCAUUGACAUAAAAAAACAACUACUGAUGACCCUAUAACCCUAAAUACUACUGGUCUUCACUACUGGUUACCCUACCACUAUCCGUCACCAGUACCAGUCUGCCCACCACCUCUACCACCUCUACCAACUCCUCUACCACCACAACCCCUUCUUGGUCUGUAUAAAUGGUGGUGAGCUGCUGA